rnacentral:tRNA from 1 species
GCCAGUGUGGCAUAGUGGUUUGAGCAUUGGACUACAACUUUGGAGACUAGGGUUCGAUUCCUGGCAUGACC